rnacentral:rRNA from 1 species
GGGCAAGUUGUGGUUCAGUUCCUUGGAACAGGACGUCACAGAGGGUGAGAAUCCCGUCUCGAACCGUAUGCCGCGUCCAUGUGAAACUCCUUCGACGAGUCGAGUUGUUUGGGAAUGCAGCUCAAAAUGGGAGGUAAAUUUCUUCUAAAGCUAAAUAUUGGCCAGAGACCGAUAGCGCACAAGUAGAGUGAUCGAAAGAUGAAAAGCANUUUGAAAAGAGAGUUAAACAGUAUGUGAAAUUGUUGAAAGGGAAGCUCUGGCAACCAGACUUGUGUACGGCGGUUCCGCCAUCGUUCGCGAUGGUUCAUUCCACCGUGUCCAGGCCAGCAUCGGUUGCGGCGGUGAGUUAAAGGCUUGGGGAAGGUAUCAACCUCCGGGUUGACUUAUAGCCCCAGGUGUCAUGCCACCUGUCACGACCGAGGCACGCGCUCCGGCUCGGAUGCUGGCGUAAUGGUUGUCAGCGACCCGUCUUGAAACACGGACCAAGGAGUCUAACAUCUAUGCGAGUGUUCGGGUGUCAAACCCCUGCGCGUAAUGAAAGUGAACGGAGGUAGGAACCCUUGGGUGCACUAUCGACCGAUCCUGAUGUCUUCGGAUGGAUUUGAGUAAGAGCAUAGCUGUUGGGACCCGAAAGAUGGUGAACUAUGCCUGAAUAGGGUGAAGCCAGAGGAAACUCUGGUGGAGGCUCGCAGCGGUUCUGACGUGCAAAUCGAUCGUCAAAUUUGGGCAUAGGGGCGAAAGACUAAUCGAACCAUGGGGCUUGAACCAGGUGGUUAAGCAAUAAAAUAGUGUCGUCAGAUGCUAUGCUGCUAUCGUCUUGGGGAUGCGGAGUCCGCUGACCCAAAGCUGUUACCCGGAGUAUCAGUCUACAGACUACACUGCGGCAGCCGGCGGCCUCGUGCUUCGCCGGUGAUAAUAUAGUCGGAAAAUUCGUUUCCGCCGAUGUCGAGGGCACUCGUAUCGGACGGCCAGAGAAUCGACGCUGGUAGCUGGUUCCUGCCGAAGUUUCCCUCAGGAUAGCAGUAACGUCUUCAGUUUUAUGAGGUAAAGCGAAUGAUUAGAGGCCUUGGGGUUGAAACAACCUUAACCUAUUCUCAAACUUUAAAUAUGUAAGAAGUCCUUGUUACUUAGUUGAACGUGGACAUUUGAAUGCAUCGUUACUAGUGGGCCAUUUUUGGUAAGCAGAACUGGCGAUGCGGGAUGAACCGAACGUGGGGUUAAGGUGCCGGAAUGCUCGCUCAUCAGACACCACAAAAGGUGUCAAUGCAUCUAGACAGUCUGACGGUGGCCAUGGAAGUCGGAAUCCGCUAAGAAGUGUGUAACAACAUACAGACCGAAUGCAUUGGCCCUGAAAAUGGAUGGCGCUUAAGCGAGCUACCCAUACCCCACCGUUAAAGUUUUAAUGAGGCUUUAACGAGUAGGCAGGCGUGGAGAUCUGUGACGAAGCCCGUGGGG